CUGACUUACUAUUUUUUAAUUUGUUGACUUUCAAUUUAUUCACCUUGUUGCUUGACUUUUAACUUCUUCACAUUGUUGCUUAACUUUUCAUUUAUUCGCCCUGUGCUUCGGGCGGGCUCCUCACUUGAUAUUUUUCGACUUUUGAUUUCUUUAACUUGUUGAUUGGCUUUCAACUUCCUCACCCUAUUCUUCAGGCGGGCUUCUGACUUUCGAGAUUCAUCACCCUAUUCUUUAGGCAGGCUCCUGACUUGCAAUCUCAUCACCCUGUUCUUCAGGAGGGCUCCUAAAAUCAAAACCAAAACUAGAACAAAAAUAUCUCAAACAAAGAUUAUAAUAAAGAAAGAUUUCAUUUUUCUGAAAGUAAUGUCCCAUUUUCCAGGAGGGUCCUGAACAGAAAAUAAAAUCUCAUUUUUCAGGAGGGUCCUGAACAGAAAGUAAAAUCCAAUUUUCCAAGAGGGUCCUGAGCAGAAAGUAAAAUCCCAUUUUCCAAGAGGGUCCUGAGCAGAAAGUAAAAUCCCAUUUUCCAAGAGGGUCCUGAGCAGAAAGUAAAUUCCUAUUUUCCAGGUGGGUCCUGAACAUAGAGUAAAUUUUCAUUUUUUAGGAGGGUCCUGAACAGAAAGUAAAAUCCCAUUUUCUAGGAGGGUCCUAAAUAUAAAGUAAAUUCCCAUUUUCUAGGAGGGUCCUAAACAGAAAGUAAAAUUCCAUUUUUCAGGAGGGUCCUGAACAAAAAGUAAAAUCUCAUUUUUCAUGAGGGUCCUGGACCAAAAGUAAAGUCCCAUUUUUUAGGAGGGCCCUGAACAGAAAGUAAAGUCCCAUUUCCAGGAGGGUCCUGAACAUAAAGUAUAUUCUUAUUUUCUAGGAGGGUCCUGAACAGAAAGUAAAGUCCCAUUUUUCAGGAGGGUACUGAACAGAAAGUAAAAUCUCAUUUUUCAGGAGGGUCUUGGACAGAAAGUAAAAUUCCAUUUUUCAGGGUCCUGGACAAAAAUUAAAAUCCCAUUUUCAGGAGGGUCUUGAACAGAAAGUAAAAUCCCAUUUUUCAGAAGGGUCCUGAACAAAAAGUAAAAUUCCAUUUUUCAGGAGGGUCCUGAACAGAAAGUAAAAUCCCAUUUUUCAGGAGGGUCCUGAACAGAAAGUAAAAUCCCAUUUUCCAAUGGUAUCUGAAUUAAAUAAAGAAAAUUUUCCCCUGUUUCAACAAAGAAAACUUGUCCGUUAAAAACAUAGUGGUGGCUUGCAGCACUUGGCUAUACCGACACCUUCUCUAGUGUUCAUUCCCUUUAUUUUGUUUUAGAUUGCUGACACUUUCCCUUGCUUUGUCAUGUCAUUGACCCAAACUCAGAUUAUUAAGAGUGACUUUAACAUAAACACAGUAUCUCUGCUUUGUCAUGUUUCUCAGAUAAACCCUUUAAAUCUUGAUAAUUUCAUGAGUUCCCAAGCUUGUUGGUUGACAAAACUUUCUACAUGCCUUUUUCGGCUCACAAUCAUGUCUCUUUCAUAUGCUGACUUUGUCUUGCUUUGUGCAAUUGAAGAAGCUGGUAGCCAUUUUUGAAUUUUUUCCUCACUUAUUUUGUCAUGGACUUGACUUAAAGACACGAGAAAAAUGACAAUGAUUUUUUUUAUUUGGAUAACUGACUCAAGAAAAUAAAAAUAAUGAUAAAGAGAAGAAAGAAAAGACAAUGAAUGUCCCAAUUUGAAAUAAAGAAACAAAAAAUUUAUCUAAAAUGACAAUCAACUCUAAUGAUUAUGCCAUGCAUUUGGAUUAAGCUGCCUGAUCUUUUCAUCCAAACUUUCACCAAUUGCUAUUGAGGUAAUGACUGUGAAAUUGAGUUACUUCCUUGGGUCAAUUGCAUUCAGAGACCUCAUUCGGCUAGUGGCACCUUGAAGGGUUUUCAUCAACAAGCCUCUCUUAUUUUCUUUCUCUUGGCUCACCAUUGCCUUAUAGUAUCCGUGAGGUUUUUUCACCAAUGAGAUUCUCUAAUUUUUAUUUUUCUUAACUCACAGUCAUCUUACGGUGCCCGUGAGGGUUUUCACCGAUAAGACUCUCUCAUUUUUAUUUGUCUCAACUCACCAUCGUCUUACGGUGCCCGUGAGGAUUUUCACCGAUCUCUCAGUUUACUAUCGUCUUACAGUACUCGUGAGGGUUUUCACCGAUAAGACUCUCAUUUUUAUUUCUCUCCUAAAUCCUUACACCGAGAAGACAAGUAGUUCCCAAAAUGCAUCAUCGCAUCCAUUGCAUGCUUAGCCUUAAUAUUCUCAAAUAUUGAUCUGAAGGUCUUUCUUUGGUUGUAACUUGGCUUUUGGAUAGGGUUAGAAAAAAAGAAUGGCAUGGGGCCCAAACGAAACUUGAAGUGGGGUAGGACUUACAACUUUUGGAAUCGACUCAAACAACGAGGAUUACCUCGUGCCCCAGUUUUUUUUGACUAGGUGACUCUAAAUUGUUUAUUUGGUUGGACCGAGCCCCGAAUAGGGCAGCCUACGUAUCUCACCCCGAAAGAGGAGAAUCAGGUCAUGCGUAGUUCUGGUAGCUUGUUUUGCAUGAUUUAGACUUUUGUUUCUUUUUGUUUUGUUGACACUCUUUUAUCUUUGGAUUUUUCUGACUCUAUUUGUCUUGACAUUUUUUUCUUUUUUUUUGGACAUAUUUUCUUUUUCUUCUCUUUUUUUUGAACUUUUUCUGACUCUAUUGUUUUGCUCGACACUUUUGUUUUGAGCUUUGUUGACUCUAUCUUGAUCACACUAUGUUUGGAUAGAAGAAUGAAAUGCCUUCGUCAUAUCAAUCCAUGAAAAUGCAAGUACAUAUCAUGCAAUAUGAAAGUGAGAGUUGAUGAUCAUUUGUGACAUUUUUUAAGCAUUAACUUUAACUGAGUCUGUGCGUCACUAAUCUUGCGCUUUGUUCAACAUAUCACUCCACUUUUGUUGUACAUUCCUCACAUCGAAUGACUCAUUCUUUCGUGGAGUUGAUUUUUUUGUCCCUCGGCAUCACACAUCCGCUGUUUGACCUAAUUGAGCAAUGUUUUUCAAUUGAUGACCAAGUUAUUCUUGUGAUUCUCAAAAUAAUUGCCUUAAUUUUCAAAGAAGGCUUGAACUUGUCACCAAAUGUCUCAACACUCUACCUAUUUUCUCAGAUGUUUUUUUUCUAACUUUAACCCUUUGAUUCAAUGUUCACGCUUAAAUUGAAUUUUAAGAUCUGGCUAAAAAUUCCGCUAGCAUGUCAUAUCACUAGAAUUAACCUAAAAUGUACUGUGUAAAGAAAAUGAAAAAACAACACAUUUUUAAAAUACAAAGGAAAAAGGGACACUUCAUUUAAUUAAAAUAAAAGAUAGAAGGAUUUGAACAUAACGACAAAUGGACAAAACAAGAUAGAUCCCAAACUACUACCCUGAAAUAAUUCAGAUAACAGAAAAUAAAACAAAACAAACUACCAGACCUCUUCCUAGUAGAGAGAGGGGUGACUUCUUAAUUGCUCAGCCUGACAUCUUAGCCACUAGUUUGCAUAUCAACAUGACUAGAUUUUUCCUCACUAUCAAUGUUAUGCACCAUAAUCAAUUUGUCUUAAAUCUUCUUUUCAAUUUCUCUUUUCAAAGCACGACAAUCUUCAAUACUUUGACCCUAAAUAUUAAAAUGAUACGCAUAUCUUACAUUAGGAUCAAAACUUCUUAAAUGCGGAUCAGGAGUAUACCCAAGGAGAGGAGUGAUCAUGCCUCGUUAUUCCAAUCUCUGAAAUAAACUGGCAUACGACUCUCCAAUUAGUGUAAAACUAUCCCUUAAUUUCUGCCUCCUUUCAUUAUUUAACUUGGAUCGAACAUCGGGCCUAUAAGGGCUUUGGUAUGUUUGUGGAAUUGGAGGAUGAGUUUGAGGAGUUGGUGCAUGCCAUUGUGGGUAAGGAGGGAGUUGAACAUAUGGUUAUGUGCAAUAUGCUAGAUAUGGAGGUGGGGAAACAGAGUAUAAUGGAUUUAGGAAGAGAUUAUGGAGAGCUUGGGUAUAAACUUGGGCUUGACUGACGACAAUGAUGACAUCGUCUUCUUGGAUGUGCUCGUUCUCCAACUAUAAUGGCAGUGUCAUCUUUCUCAUUCUUCUUCCCUCCAGGUUCCCUUAAUUGAUUUCAAUAUUGUCCCAAAUGUUUCACGAAUUCCUCAUGCCCAUCUUGCUCCUCAAAUUUCAACAUCUCAAAGAUUGGAGGAAGGUUAGCACUUGAAGGCAUGCCCCAGUCUUUGUAUAAAACAUCUUCUUUACCCACAGGUCCUAGAGAAUUUUUCAUAGCAUUUUCUGCACUCCUCAUUUUUCCAACCAUUUUCUCCGACUCUUCUGGCACACUGGACUUCUUGUUAAGAAAUUUUGGUGGUCCAGUUAACUUAAAAGCAGGCUCAGGAGUAUAACAAUGAUCACCAAGAGUAUUGAAUAUAGGUUCACUAGUAGCAUGGGGAUGCAUAACCAUUGGGUGAGCCAGUGUGGAAGUCCCAGUAGAGGAUUGAGCAACAAGAUCACAGACGAUAUGUGGUGUUGUGAAUGCAACAGGCUUAUGCUGAGGAGCUAGAGGAAGAGUGGUGGAAGUAUUGAGAUGCGUUUGGCUUGGAAUGAAUUCUGAGUCAUGUUGCGGUGCAUCAACAACAGUAGAAAACUGACUUUGAGAUUUUGGUGGAAAACUCAAGGUGUUUGUAGGAUCAAUAAAGGGAAAUGGAGGAGGAGGAAACCCACUAGCCCAAGCUCGAUGCAUUUCUGUCAUUUGUUGUCUUAGCCUCCUAAUCUCUUGCUUCAAACUCUGAUUUUUCUGAUUCUUUGUUUGAUCAUGAUGUCACUCUCUAUAUCUUUGUUGGACACAACUAACCCUUUGGAUUUGGUGUGAUAUGAAGGACAAGCCAGAAUGCCACAAACCAACCACUUUAAACUGACUCAACAAAAAACAACAAUUGUGUUAGAGUUCAACACUUUUUCAAAACUCUUUUUCCUUCUUCUUUUUUUGAAAAUAUCAUCGAACCCAAAAAGGGCGCCUACAUAUCUCACUCUCGAGAGAGAAGAAUCAGGUGUGCGUAGUUCAUUAAGUCUUGCCAAAAUGGUCAAUUGAUUCUUUUUCCUUUCUUUUUUUUUCUUGAAACAAUUUGUUAAAAGAAUUGACGAAAAUCUUCUUGCACUUUUCAGGUUUAAACUCCCUAUAGAAAAUGGAACCUAUAAUUACCAAAGAAAAAUCUUUUGGGGUUUUCGAUUUUGAAUUUGAUAAGAAAAUGAAGAUUGAAACUAUUAAAGAAAAGCCUUUUUGUACUUUUCUUUUAGAGAUGUAUAUGACACCUACUCUAGAUGAACAGUGAAGAGAAUCUUUUUGGAUUUUUCAAAUAAGAUCCCCGAACCAACAAUAGGCUACCUACGUAUCUCACUCCCGAAAGAGAAGAAUCAGGGGUGCGUAGUUCGUCCAAAUAAGACAAUUAAGGAUUAAAUAACCGACUGAACUUGACUUGAGAGACGCGACCACAAACAGAAGAUGAAAAACAACAAUAAAAUCUUUUUUCUGAGUUUUCAAUUUGAUACUCAACCCUAAAAAAUGACACCAACAGAUAUGAAAGAAAAAUAUUUUUGGUAUUUUCAUUAUAUGAAAUGUACAAAACUUCUAUCAUCUUUUUUUUGCAUUUUCCUUUUAUAAAAAACUCCUAAAAAUAUUUUUUUUUUUGAAAAUUUUUAAAUUAUGAAUGCAUGCUAAAGAAGAUAAAGGGAAAAUCUUUUUGACGUUUUUGUUUUGAGUAAAUGCGUCAAAAAGGUAAGAAAAUCUUUUUGAAUUUUUGGAUUGUGAAAAAUAAAAGCCAUAAAGAAAUCUAAAAAAAACUACGAAACUCCUUUUCUUUUUUUUUUUGAAAUGGUUUCUUGUCUACAUACCUUACUUUUAACACAUGUUUUCCCCAAAUCAGUCCAUCAAAUGACCACGUUACCCUCAAAGAUGUCACAUUUAGCACGUAGGGAUGCUUUAGAGGCGAGUCCCCUACAAAGGACCAAGUGGGCCCCACUAGGUCUUCAAUAUGAUACACAUAAGUAUGAACUAAAGGCUGACCUACGUUGGGGUUCACUAACAAGGUUUUUCGGGGGAACGUAUGGUCGAUAGUGACUGAUUUGCUUUCCACCUUCUCCAUAACACUAAUGGCGGGUGACUCAACUAGAGGUUGUGUACAACACGUGUACUACGGACUAAUUGCAGAAAGAACGAGUCGGGUUAUGCACAUAAUGCCAGAUAUAAAGCGAUAACACAUAAUAUAAAAAUUGUAAACAAAGAGCACGUAGGCACUCAACAAUGAUAAAUAAACACAAACGAUAACAUAAACAAUGUUUAUACACCCCUAAUGCCAAACUAAGACAAUACAACUCAAAAAAUAAGCUCGAAUUCUGAAAAAUCCCCAGUGGAGUUGUCAGAGCUAUCACACCCUUUUUAACUCCAAAAAGAAUUUGUUUUAAGGUUGAAAGGGUUUUUAUUAUGAAGUGACAAAAAUGAAGAAUUUGUUUCGAAAAAGGAUUAUUUGUAUUCAAAACUUAGAGUUUCCACUUGGCAUAAUCGGGUGUGCCAAGUCACCUUUGAAAAAUCUCUUUCAAAACGAUUUGACUCUUUAAACUGGUUUGCAAACAGAUAUUCCCGCUAAGAAAUUCUGUUGAUCGAGGGGAAGGUGUUAGGCACCCCUCGAUCCCGUGGUUCGACCACGGUCAUUUGAUGGAGUGUAUCGGCUAAUUUUGAUACUAAAAAUGUACAAACCACAUAAAACACCCAAACAAUUAAACAAAUGAACACAAACUAAAACAAUCCAAAAUAUAGUGUCCAGUCCACUUAUACAGUCCAGAAAAAUGCGAAGAUGUUAACCUACUCUAUUUUAAACUAAUCCUAAACUGAACUAAAACUCCACCCGACGUUUUGGACCUUGACCGUGUGUCGUCUUCAAGUACAUAAUACGUCGGGACAUUCCCUGGUAAAUAAAUACAAUUCCUUUGGGGCAUUCUCCGGUGAAUAAAUGCAAUUCCUUAGGGGCAUUCUCCCGUAAAUGAAUACAAUUUCAAUUUCAUGAGAUAAACUAGAAAAACGUUCAAAACAUACAUUUAAACAUUCAAAUCAUUCAAUCAACACAUCACUCCUAAACCUUGCAUAGCCGAACCUAUAUUGCCUAUCCAUUUCAACAUAUAAUAAAUCAAUGACAUUCAUGCUUAUUCUGAAUUAAAUAAAAAAAGACAACAAACCAAAAUUAAUCUACAUUCAACUUUUAUCAAUGUCUCCAUCCCCACCCCAAACUUCAUUUUUAUCAAUUAUGCCAUAAAAAUUGUUCUAAUUUUGUUUCAAAUAUCGCCAAAAUAGAAUCAUCAGGCACAUAAAUCAUAAUAUCAACCAAAAUCCAACAACCAUAAUAAUCACACCACGCAUAAUCACAACCAAUUCAAAAUCAAGAUGAAGAAAAGGGAAAUGGAUUAAACAAAUGGACCUCAAUAGAACGUUCUCGUAGAUAAUAAAGAAGUCCAAAAAUCGAAAUACUCAAAUAGGAACCCCAACCACGAACAACACCGAAUCAGUGUUUCGAAUUUCCAAUAGAACAGAUUGCAAACCUAAAGGAAAACCUCAAUAUGAAAUCCCAAAUUUUGAAUAUUGGCACAAUUUAAUCACGAGGACCCCAAAGCACGAUGGCAACAAUGAAUCAGGAAACAAAAGAACCCUAAACCCCCUAAAUCCAGUAAAAGAAAACCAAAAUCGAUAGAAACUGAGCUUCGGUGAGCUGACAGUGACCAAAACUGAGAAAAAUCGAGUAAAUUCCGAUGGGAUAUGGCCGGAAUCAGCCCGAGGAUGACCCAAUCAACCUGUUCUGACGGAUUUCAGUACGCUUUAAUGUUUUCAGGCGACUGUAUCACCGAAAUAGUAACUAGACGCGAGCAGCAACCCCUCGACGAAAAAUAACCAGCUGCCAGCGUGAAAUUUCAAUGGAAAUCUAAGGAAAACAAAUGGAUCUCAACAUCUUCCUUCAGGUCUUCAACUCUCUUUCGCUCACUGUUCACUCCAUAUUUUUCGAUGUGGGUGACGUUUUUUCGGUGAAGGUAUGUGUGUAUUGUUGUUGUGCCUCCUCUCUAUUUUUGUGAUGAAGAUGAUGAUAAAAAAAAAAAGGGUUUCUUUGAGAGGGUAUUGUGAAGGUCCUUUUCUUUUCUUUGUGGACAACAAAUAAAAGGAGGGUUACGUGGGUGAGGAGUGGGUAGUGGGUGAGGUGUCUUCAUUUUAUUGGAGAGGUUGUUAGGAUGUUUAAAAUAAGAUCAAAUUUGUCAGGGAGUUUGUUAUUUUUGUUCUUUUAUGGGAAAUUAUGGAAUUGAGUUGGGAUAUGUGAUAAGAUUCGCUAAAAUGAAUAAAAUUGGACUUCGGAAGGGACAAAAUUAGGUGUCUACAACAACAAUAAAGAAAUAAAAAUGAAAUUUACAUAAAUAAAAUAACACAAGAGAUUUUACAUGAAAACCUCAAUACUUGUACAGUAAUAAUAGUACUACCAGAAAAAUUUGUAUAGAGUGCAGCAGUGUACAACUAUCUCAUACCAUUCCUUGUGAAGUAAACACAAAAUAGAAUUGAUCCCGAAUGUACUGGAAGUCAUCAUUAAUAAUCAAUACAACAGUACACCAAUAUAAACACGUUCACUAUACUUUAUACUCUGAUGAUGAUUAAAAGUACCAAAACAAGAUUUAAAUAAUGGCCCAAUAUUUUCAUUUUAGGUCGAACAUCACUAUCCCACUCUUAAGCCUUAUUUGUUUGCACUUAAUGGUUUCAGAUCUUUAGGUAUUAAGUGCAUUUAUUGCCAUUAAUAUUUUAGCAUUUUUUUGUCUGAAAAAUGCAUUUGUUGACAUUCAUAUUUAAACAUUUUUUUUAUCCGAAUAGGUCUUAAUCGAUAAAAUCUUGAACAAAGUCUUAAUAUCAUUAAGAGAUAUUAUUUUGUGGAUAUGUUUCACAACAACUUUGUUCAUAAUCACCGGUUGUCACUAAUAACCACCUAUAUCAUCACAAUCACUAUCAUCUUUACUAUCAUCCACUACCAUCAUUACUGUCAGUUGCUUUCAUACCUACUACCUUCAUCACUAUAAUUAUAUCUACUUCCGCCAUGCAUAUGUGAGCCUUUUCCUCAUAAGUAUUUUUGUGGCGCCUCAAUCACUACUCUAGAUGCAUUCUUCAAUUGUUGAUUGGAAACUAAUAUUUGGUCUACUUUUGCGACGUGGUGUAGUUCACUACAAAGGGAGUGAUAGUUUAGGUACAUAAAUGAAAGACACAAUGCAUCAACAUGGCCUUUAACUUGGCCUCAGAUCACAUCUAUGACUUCCAACUUUGGGUUUGCAUAAGUAAGCACUUAAACUUGUAUAAAGUUGAACAAGUAGACACAUAUGCCAUAUGUGGCAUCUUAUGUGGUUAAUUUUUGUUCUACAUGGUGUGCUAUGAACCUAACUAGUGAACCAACAUUAGACAAUGAAGUAAAUGGGCUGGCCAUUCAAACUGAAGAAAUUAGGCCUGAGAAGCAGCCACGUAGGAGCAAUAGACAGAAACAUGUCAAUAGGCUUUUGAAGGAUUAUAUAUGACAACCGGGAUGAGGCAUGUGUGAAUAGUUCAUUGGCUUAUAGGGGAAUACUAUAGUAUAUUAUGCAGUAUCUAGGAUAGAAGUACGGCAUCAUCGUAUUAUGUUGCAGCAUAUUCUCGUGUCCUCGCCUCUCUUCCUCUCUAUAACCCUUCUCAUCUUUACCCUCUUCUUUUAGUAGUAGUAACUAUAUCAGUUAGUAUCAUUCAUCUUUGCUUUCCUUUCAAUAAAAUUCACCUGUGUUACUUUUUAUUGAGAUUUCAGAUUACUGCAUUGGUGCUUUCACUGUUGUAUUCCAAUGGUGGAUACUCGACUCAAGCAUCUUGAAGAGGCACAAACGGGCAUGGCCCGGGAGAUGCCAGAACUUCGAUUGGCGGUCGAUGGCAUGGUCAAUAAAAAUUGGUGCAAGAAGUUCUUAAUCAAGUGUCAUCGAUUGGUUCUCAGUUGAAAACUCUAUCGGCAGACUUCUCUCGCUUGAAAUCGGUCAAAUUUGUUCUGUCUUCCCACACCGACAGCGAUAACCCUGUUAUACUCUGACACAAACCAGCAUCUGUGGAGCUGAUUAGGUUUUCUGAUAAACAACCGGAUACCUGGAUAUUUCAAGUUGAACGGUAUUUUACUUUUUACUCUAUCGUUCCAGAGCAACAAUUAUCUCUGGCUUCUUUUUUUUGGAUGGGAUCGCUCUUGAAUAGUAUCGAUGGCUCUUCUAAAAUAAGCAGUGGGUUUAUUGGACUCAUUUUUCUUCUAAGCUACUCAUUCUAUUUCAAAAAAGGGAAUUGGAGGACCCAGAAGGCCGGCUAGCAAAAAUUCAUCAAACUUCCACCAUCGCUGACUAUCAGGCUAGGUUUGAAGUUAUUGCUAAUGAGACUAAGGAUAUACCAGACACCUUGAAGGUCAAGUUAUAUGCAUUUGGGCUUCGUUUGGAUAUCAAAACUAAUGUGUUGGUUCAUAAACCCAGCACCCUUGAUGAGGUAAUUUUCUUGGCCCAUACCAAUAAGCAGCGUCUUAAUCUAGAAAAAGGGCCAAUGCAACCAACAUUUGCUAGGACCCAACCUCUACUACUCAACCCUUAUUCUCUAUCUCUAUCACCCUAUAGAAAUAUAGGUAUUCCCUCUACUAAGUUUCCUAUCAAACGUUUGUCUCCAGUUGAGAUGCAACAACGUCAGGAAAAAGUAUUGUGUUAUUAUUGUGAUGAGAAAUAUGUGGCUAAUCAUUGGUGCACAAAUCUGCCUCAAAUCCUUCUACUCAAAGAUUAUUUAGACCCCCUGAGUUCGGCAUUAGAGGAUGCCACCAUGGAGGAAUUGUUAACUGAGGAGCUCCAAUGCUUGAAAGUGCAAGCUCAAUCUAUAAUUUCAUACCAUGCCCUGGAUGGAUGUCAUUCUCCUACUAUUUUAUGUUUCAAAGGGCACAUGCAGAGGUCUCAAAUCACUAUUUUGGUUGAUGGGGGAAGUACACAUAAUUUUAUUCAAACUCGAGCUGCCAAGUUCCUAAAUCUCAGAGUCACACCCAUUACUAAUUUGUGGUAGUUGUGGGUAAUGGCCAAUGUUUCCAGUGUGAAGGGGCAAUUCGAGAUGUACAAUUCUCAGUCCAAGGGACUAGCCUCUCUAUGGACUUGCAUGUAUUGGACUUCCAUGGGCAGAUGUGGUGCUUGGAGGGGCUUAGCUGGCCACUCUAGGACUUGUUCUUACUGAUCAUCCAAACGUCAUAUGGAAUUCUAUUUGGAUAACAAACAGGUGCAAUGGGUAGGUGACUCACUGGACGAUCUUCAACUGGCUCAGUUGAAAACACUACGCCGUUAUUCGGCCACCAAUGUGAUUGCUUCAUUUUUUGCCUUUUCCUAGUGCACGAGGACACUACGACUAAGAAGGAUAAAGAUAUACCCCCUGAUUUAGGGGCAUUAUUGAUUUCAUAUUCUGGAGUUUUCAACAAACCACAAGGGUUGCCUCCUAUUCGGGCUAUGGAUCAUGCCAUUCACCUCACUCCCAAUGCUGGUCCUGUCAAUGUUAAGCCCUAUCGUUAUCCACAUUUUCAAAAAUAAAUUAUGGAGCAAUUAGUUUUAUAUAUGUUAAGGGAUGGAAUUAUCCAGCCUAGUACAAGUCCCUUUUCAUCACCCAUGUUAUUAGUUCACAAGAAAUAUGGCUCUUGGCAUUUUUAUGUCGAUUAUCGAGCUCUCAAUGCCAUCACUGUGCUAGAUAGGUUUCCAAUUUCUUCUAUUGAUGAGUUAUUUAAUGAACUGUUGAUGUCCGGAAGACUGCUUUCAAGACCCAUGACGGCCAUUAUGAGUUCUUGGUCAUUCUAUUCAAUUUAACUAAUGCUCUCUCCACCUUUCAAGAGACCAUGAAUGAUGUAUUUUGCCCAUAUCUUUGCAAGUUUGUGUUGGUCUUCUUUGAUGAUAUUCUUAUUUACAGUAUGUCGUGGUUGAUACACUUGGAACAUCUAGAAUUGGUUUUCAAAUUGCUCCAACAACAUCAACUGGUGGCUAAACGCAGUAAAUGCCAAUUUGGGAAGAGAACUAUUGAUUAUUUAGGCCAUGUGAUCUCCCUAGAUGAACUGACAAUGGAUCCUUCCAAAAUUUCCACUAUUAAACAGUAGGUUGUACCAAAGACAGUAGAGAAGAUACGUAGUUUUUUGGGCCUCGCUGGGUACUACAGACGAUUCAUUCAUCACUUUGUGAUUACUCCUAGUUCUUUGUUUGAUUUACUACGAACAGAUGUCUUCCUGUGGACUGCUCAAACCCAACAGGCUUUUGAAGAAUUGAAAGUUCGACUCAGUUCCACCCCUGUUUUGGCCUUGCCCAACUUUGAUAAUGACUUUCACGUGGAAAAUGAUGCUUUUGGUGUUGGUAUUGGUGCUAUUAUUUCACAGAAGGGACAUCCAAUUUCUUACUAUAGUCAGAAGUUAAGCCCUCAAAUGCAAAAGGUUUCUACUUACCAUUGUGAGAUGUAUGCAAUUACUCAAGUCCUGGAAAAAUGGAGGCAAUACUUGUUGGGUCGAUGUUUCACCAUUUCCACAGAUCAGCAGACCCUCAAAAACCUCACUAAUCAGGUUAUUCAAACUCCGAAGAAAUAAAAGUGGCUUGGAAAGCUGGUGGGAUAUGAUUUCACGAUACAUUACCGACCGGGAAAGCAAAACAAGGCCAUUGAUUCCUUUUCCAAACCACCCGAUACUGGAGUGUUGUUUUCUAUUUCGGAGCGCACUUAUUAGUGGCUUGGAGAACUGUUAGAAGCAAAUAAACGCCAUCCAGAAUUAUUGUCCAUUCAACAGGAGUUGGGGAGUGAACCUUUUGCAUAUACUGAUUAUACUUUUCAUAAAGGGAUUAUCUUCUACAAAGGACGUCUGGUAAUACCACUAGAUUCUUCCUUGAAUUGAUUGUUACUUUCAAAAUUUUAUGAUUCGAAUAUAGGGGGUCAUGCUGGAGUUUCCCAUACUUUUCAUCAUUUGACCUUGAAUUUUUAUUGUCUAGCAAUGCGUAAUGAUGUUAAGGUUUACAUUGCUUCGUACCAGACUUGUCAGUGAUCUAAGGACAUUAAACGAUUACCAGCAGGUCUGUUACAACCAUUACCGAUGCCGGUGAUGGGUUUUCAAGAGAUAGCUAUGGACUUUAUUACUUGUUUGCCGAGCUCUAAAGGGAAAGUUACCAUCAUGACUGUGGUUGAUAGACUAUCCAAGUAUGGAUAUUUUAUUCCUCUCCCAACAACUUUUAAUGCUCAAACUGUGGCUGCGGCUUUUGUUAUUCAUGUGAAUAAGCUUCACUUCCCACCGCGAACAAUUAUUAUUGAUCAUGACCCUCGUUUCUUUUAUAUUUUUUGGAAAGAGAUAAAUAGAUUACAGGGGACUGCUUUGGCCAUGAGCAAGGCGUAUCACCCGCAGACAGAUGGACAAUCUGAGGAAUUGAACAAAUGUGUUGAGCAAUACUUGUGAUGUUUUGUAGCUGAUAGCCCCCAUGAAUGGGUAUCUAUGCUGCCAUUGGCUGAAUUUUGGUAUAAUACAGCACUUCAUACAUCUGCUGGGUUGUCACCUUUUCAAGCUUUAUAUGGGAGAGAACCUCCUAACAUAGCUCAAUACAUUCUUGGUUGUGCUUCUGAUGAUCUCAUUGAGCAAUACAUGUUGCGUUGGGAUGAAGUUUUGGAUCUAUUGAAGCUCAAUCUCUCCAAGGCAUAAGAUCGAAUGAAAGAGUAUGCUGAUAAGGGUCGAAUUGAGUGUCAUACUCAAUUUUUACCUAAGGUCAAAACGAGCAUGACAUUAUGGACUCAAAAAGAAUUAAUUUGGUACAGAGUCGCCACCUAAUUUUUAAAAAAAAAUAGAAAACCUAUUUAUUUGUUUAAUAGGUAUGACUUUAUUUCAAUCUACAAAACCAAUUUAGAUUCUAGGUAAGGGUUCGAAUUAUUCCGAAGGUAGGGGUUAGGCACCUUUUAGAAUCCACAAAUGUGGUUCCUGGCCAGACUUAGGUUUAUUAAAAUAGAAAUCAAUAUUUUAAAUGCAACUAUAAAAUGUGUAUUAAAAUAAUAUAGACAAUUUAAUAUAAAAGUAUGAAUUAUUUAAUUAAAUAUGUGAAUCAAUUUUAAUAUAAAAUGUUAAUGGCCUAAAUUUGCCUAAACGCGCAAUGAAUUAUUUAAUUAAAUAUGUGAAUCAAUUUUAAUAUAAAAUGUUAACGGCCUAAAUUUGCCUAAACGCGCAAUGAAUAUUUGUAUAAAAGCAUUCCCUCCCCACGCCCCAAAAAUAAAAUUUUCACUAUAAAUGAUACUUGUACAAUGAUAAGAAUAAAAGAAAAUACAAAUACAAAAAAAAUUCAAGAUCUUCUUUGAAUAUCAGUCCUGACGAGUAUUCUCGAGAACCUACACAAACACUUGUAAUAAAAAUAUUAGUAAUAAAUAAAUAUUUACCAAAAUAAAUUUAAAAGGUAUGUGUGCAUAUAUGCGUUUAAAAAUAUUUUUUUUUGCUAAAAUAUGGGCUCAAAUUAGAUUUUAGAUACGACAUGGAUACGAAGUGGUUGCUGAUUUAUUAGCUGUCCUAAAUCGUCUUGCCAAGAUAGAAUCAUAAAAAAUUUUGCGUUGUUAUAAAAAUUUCAUCAUCGCCCAAAUUUAUUUAUUUUAUUACGUAUUUAUAUACAUAAUAUCCAUCUUUUAUAAUGGGGUGACCUCAAAUAUCCAGACGGAGAGAUAAUUUCAUUGACCAAUAGCAUAGUAUUUGUUCAUUAUCAAUUUAAUAAAAUUAAUAUGGACAAAAAUGUAAUGUAAUUGCCCCAAAAGAGAGACAAUAUCAACCAUGAAACUAGCAUAGCAACAACCCAAAACAAAGGCAAUAACAGCUAUGAUACCAGUAAAGUAACAACCAAAAUAAAUGCAAUAACAGCUAUGACACCAGCAAAGUAACAACCAAAAUAAAGGCAAUAACAACUAUGAUACCAGGAAAGUAACAACCAAAAUACCCGAACAAAUCACAAAUCCGCUAAAGAUUUAAAAAAAAUAAUAUAAUGAACAGCAACAAAUAAAUCAAGCAAAUAAUUACAACAUAUGCAAAUAUGUAUCAAAGAAGAGGUCGCCGGAUACGACAUCUUGUCUGUCAGAUCCAUGCAAAAAAAGCCCACAACAUACAAAAUUAAUGAGACGCAGUUCAUCAGAAGUAAAAAGUCGAAGCAAUGGUAAUUACCGGCGUUGCUUCAACGACUUUCGUCGGAGCAACCCCGGAUACACCAAGCACCGGAUAGAUAUGGUGGUUUGUCACUAGGGGGAUUCAUCGGAAAGUUAAAAAAUGAGGGUGGCGCUAGUGGUUUAGGCUAGAUCUCGCUAGAGAUGGAGGAAGAGGAGAGAAGGGAGAGAGGGGUGGUGGUGCGUGAUGGUUUGCCAGAAUUUGGCUAUAGCUCACCCGAGAGAGGAGAGAAAAAAAAGGUCCACUGAUUUUGUGCUUAUGUACGUGUAUUGUGUGUGUGGAGCAUUUAAAAAAGGAAAAAUAAAAAAAAUAAUAUUCAUAUCUACUUUUUCCCAACAAGUCUCUCAAAUUAGGGAUAGUAGGUGAACAUAAAGUCAAAAAAUUUAAAAAGUGAGGAGACCUUGAUUUGACUAAUUUAUUAUUUUGUGUAUUAAAAUAAUUAAAUCAACUCACUUUUGCAGGUCGCAUUAAAUAACAUAUAAAAUAAUGAAUGAAUGUGAUCUUCUCUAAAUCUCUAACGGUCAUAUUUGACUGUUCGGCGACGGAGCUGCACCGUCACACGUAAGGAACAUCCUCCCUCCCUCAUUCUCUCCUCCUAGUUUCUCUCUCUCUCAGGCUCUCUCUCUAUCUCGAGAUUUCUCUACCACAAUGUCACUACUAUCGCCGAUGAAUUUAGGAUUUCUGCUGACUCAACUCCGACGAUGAUGCAGGGUGUAGCAUCGAUCAGAACUGGUUAAAACAGUUAGUCCGACGAUGAUCGGUGACCAAAUUCUGGCAACAACAGGAAGACACUUUGGAGAUAUUUUCCGGCAGCACUUUCCAGCAGCUCUAUUUUGGCAACCUAUUUUGACAUCAACACUGCCGUAACCAGGAAAUGCAGUACUCCGGUGACAUCCAAACCUUUUUCUUUAAUUAAGCUUUAGUGACUCCGGCAACCUUUUUUUCUUUAGUUACACUUUAUUGUUUGUUUUUUAUUGUUUCCCUGUUUGUGUUUUAUUGUUGUUUUUUUUAUUGUUUCCCUGUAGUGUGUUCUGGUGCAUAUCUGUUAUUUGCCUACUGUUUACAUAUUGUUGCUUUGUUGGUUUGUCAGUCUAUCUGCUGGUCGAUUUGGGGCCUUAUUACGAUUUUUGGGUAGUGGUUGUGGGGGUUUGGGGCUUUGUUAUGAUUUUUUAGUAGUGGCUGUGGGGGUUGAUAUUGGAGUAGGGUCAUGUUUAAGGGGGUUGGGGUUUGGGGCAAUUUUGGGAGGGGAGAAAAGGGGAGUGCAAGGGUGGGUGUGGGAUCUAGGCCAGGUAUUCAGGCUGGGCCAGCGAGGGGUGGAAGAGGUAGGCGAGAGGCGAGAGGAGAUAGGUUGAGGGUAGGGUCUUAGAACAUAGGGACCCUUCAAGGUAAGUCUAUAGAGUUGUUGAAAAUUCUUAAGAAGAGAAGGAUUAAAAUUAUGUGUGUUCAGGAGACUAAGUGGGUAGGGUCUAAGGCUAGGGAUGUGGAUGGGUACAAGUUGUGGUACUCAAGCAGUGAGAGGCAUCGUAAUAAAGUAGGAAUCUUAGUGGAUAAGGAGCUAAGAGGGCAGGUGGUGGAGGUUAAGAGGGUCAGUGAUAGGCUGAUAACGAUUAAGUUGGUCAUUGGGUGGUUUAUGGUGCAUGUGUGUAGCAUUUAUGCGCCACAGUUGGGCUUGGAUGAGAAGGUGAAAGCGUGUUUUUGGGAGGUUUUAGACGAGGUGGUGAGAAGCGUUCCUAGCUCUAAGAAGAUUAUCAUAGUGAGGGACUUCAAUGGGCAUAUUGGGGUUUUACCGGGUGGUUAUAAAGAUGUGUAUGGAGGAUUUGGUUUCGGUGAAAGAAAUGGUGAGGGGGUUGCUUUGUUGGAUUUUACGAGGGCCUUUGGGCUAGUGGUUGUGAAUUCGAGCUUUCCGAAGAAGGAGGAUCACUUGAUUACCUUUCAAAGUGCAACAGCCAAGACUCAAAUUGUCUUCCUACUGCUUAGGAAGGGGGAUAGGGUUCUUUGUAAGGAUUGUAAACUCAUUCCGAGUGAGCAUCUUUUGACCCAGCACAGGCUUUUGGUGAUGAACUUAAGUAUCAAGAAGAGCAAGAGGAGUAAGGUCGGAGUGAGUCGACCUAGAAUUAAGUGGGUGGCUUGACGCCAGUUAGUACAUUGGAGAUAGGGAAGAAGGUGGAGGGAAUAGAGGUGUGGGAGUGUAGAAGGGAUGUGGAUGAUAUGUGGGAUAAGGUGGCCAGCUGCAUCAGAGAGACAGCUAGAGAGGUGUUGGGGGUAUCGAGGGGUCGGGCAGGACGACAUAAGGAGGAAUGGUGGUAGAAUUAAUAAGUUAAGAAGAAAGUAAAGAUUAAGAAGGGGGCGUAUGUUAAGUUGAUUAAGAGUAAGGAUGAAGAUAAGAAGAAGGUGAAUAGGUAGGACUACAAAGUAGCAAGGAAAGAAGCUAAGUUAGCAGUUACGGCUACUAAGACAGCAGCGUUUGAGAGCUUGUAUGUGGGGUUAGAGGAGAAAGGUUGGGAAAAAGGGUUGUAUAGGCUUCCUAAGGCUAGGGAGAAUAAGGGUCGUGACCUCGAUCAAGUGAAGUGCAUUAAGAGGAAAAAUGGUAGAUUUUUUGUGGAGGAUGUUCACAUUAAGAAGAGAUGGCAGGAGUAUUUUCAUAGACUUUUAAACAAGGAAGGGAAUAGAGGUAUUGUGUUAGGGGAGUUAGAGCGCUCGUAAAAGAGCCGUGACUUCAGUUACUGCAGAUGUUUUAAGGUUGAGGAGGUUAGAGAGGCUAUUCGUAGGAUGCAAAGUACUAGGGCAACAGGGCCUGAUGAGAUUCCAGUGGAUUGUUAGAAGUAUGAUAGGGGGAAGGUUAAGGUGGUUGACUAAUAUGUUCAACGCCAUUUUCAAGAUUGUGAGAAUGCCCGAGGCUUGGAGAUAGAGUACGAUGAUUCCGUUAAAUAAAAACAAGGGUGACAUUCAGAGUUGCAACAACUAUAGGGGUAUUACGCUGUUGAGUCACACUAUGAAGAUUUGGGAGAGGGUGGUUGAGCGAAGAUUGAGGAGGGUCGUGCCCAUUUCGUAAAUCAGUUUCGUUUUAUUCCUAGUUGCUCAACGACAGAGGCAAUCCACCUGGUGAGAAGAUUGGUGGAGCAGUAUAGGGAAAGGAAGAGGGAUUUGCACAUGGUGUUCAUCGAUCUGGAGAAAGUGUAUGACAAAGUCCCUAGGGAGGUUCUUUGGAGAUUCCUGGAGGUGAGAGGAGUUCCGGUGGCGUACAUCAGAGAUAUUAAAGACAUGUGCGAUAGAGGGAAGACUCGGGUAAGGACGGUGGGAAGAGAUUCAGGGUAUUUUCCGAUCGAGAUAGGUUUGCACCAGGGUUCGACCAUAAGCCCAUUCCUAUUUGCGUUGGUGAUGGACAUGUUGAUGCGAAGUAUUCAAGGUGAGGUACCGUGGUGUAUGUUAUUUACGAAUGAUGUAGUGUUGAUUGAUGAGUCACGGGGGAUGUGAAUGAAAAAUUGGAGGUUUGGAGGCAAACCCUUGAAUCUAAGGGGUUCAGGUUGAGUAGGUCCAAGACGAAGUAUUUGGAAUGCAAGUUUAGUGACUCGAGUUAGGAGGACAGUGUAAUGAUGAGGUUAGAAUGUCAAGAUGUUUGUAAGACAGAUAGUUUCAAGUAUCUUGGGUCUAUGAUUCAGGGAAAUGGCGAGAUUGAUGAGGAUGUCUCUAAACUUGUUAGAGCUGGUUGGAUAAAGUGGAGGCUCGUCUCAGGAGUGUUGUGAUAAGAAGGUACCCCUUAAGAUUAAAGGAAAAUUCUACAAAGUGGCAGUCCGUCCGGCCAUGCUGUAUGGAGCGGAGUGUUGGCCAGUUAAGAAAUCUCAUAUCCAAAUAUUGAAAGUAGCGGAAAUGAGAAUGUUGCAUUGGAUAUGUGGUCUUACUAGAGGGGAUAAAUUUAGGAAUGAGAUUAUCUAGGAGAAGGUAGGAGUGGCUUCGGUGGAGAACAAGAUGCAAGAAGGCAGGUUGAGAUGGUUUGGGCAUGUGAUGAGGAGGAGCACGGAUGCCCCUGUUCGGAAGUGUGAGAGGCUAGCUUUGGAUAGAUUCAAGAGGUUUAUAGGUAGGCCAAAUAAAUAAUGGGGGGAGGUGAUUAGGCAUGACAUGGAGAUGCUUCAGCUUACUGAGGACAUGACCCUAGAUAGGAAGGUGUGGAGGUCGCGGAUUAGGGUAGAAGGCUAGUGUGAGUGUGUGGGUAGUGGCUAGGGAUUAGGAGAGUUUGGGUAUGAUGGGUGUCUUAGGUAUUGUGAGAGUAUGUCACUACUAGGUGAGUAUCCUUUUUCUUAUAUUUGUUGCGUAUUGCUCCUAUUUUUUCUUAUUUCGGAAUUCUCUGAUAUUUAUUGUUAUUAUCUCUUAUCUCUUAUUUUUGUUUAUGUUAUCCACCAUGUCUCAUGUUUCAUUACGGUCUUGGUAUACUAUUCUCAUUCUUGAGCCGGGGGUCUAUCGGAAACAACCUCUCUUCCUCUUCGGAGGUAGUGGUAUGGACUGCGUACAUUUUACCCUCUCCAGACCUCACUUUGUAAGAAUACACUGGGUCUAUUGUUGUUGUUGUAUAAAAUAAUGAAUGCCGAUGUUAAAUACAAAAUAUUAUAAAUAAUAAAUAAAAAUAUAAUUAUCUUGAAAAAAUAUAUUAUGCUAUAAAUAAUUAAAAUUAUACUGUGUAGUAAAAAAUUGCAGUGUUAUGCUGUGUACGUAUGUAAAGUACUGUGCAAAAAUAUUAAAAUAAUAAUAAACUGAUAGGAAUUUAUGAAAUUAAAGAUAAUUAUCAAUAAAUUAUGUAAAAUUAAAAUAUGAAAAUAAAUGAGUAAAAACUCUAAAAUAAUGAUAAUUAUCAACAAUUUAUUGACAAUUGCAAAAAAUAUGUAAAAAAUUGCAUAUUGUGCCAUUUAACGAUCAAGGAGCCUAAAUGUGUUAAUUUUAAGUAUGGAGAGCCAAAAUUGUGAUAAGUACGGGCAAGAAUGACAUGUGAUGCUUAAAUGAUAAAAUAAAUUCAUUGCGAUAUUUGCGAGGAAUACAGUGCUUAAAUAACAAAAUGCAUUGCGAUAUGAGCCAGUAAAGGCAAAAAUGACGUGCAGUGCUUAAAUAAGAAAAUAUAUGCAUUGUGAUAUAUGCGUGCAGUGCUUAAAUAGAAAAAUAAAUGCAUUGCGAUAAGCGCCAGCAAAGGAAAAGAUGGCAUGCAGUGCUUAAAUAAUAAAAUAAAUGCAUUAUGAAAUGUUCGUGUAGUGUUUCAACAACAACAACAUACCCAGUGUAUUUCCACCUAGUGGAGUCUGGGGAGGGUAGAGUGUACACAGACCAUACCACUACCUCAAGAGAAGUAGAGAGGCUAUUUCCGAUAGCGUACAGUGCUUAAACAAGAAAAUAAAUGCAUUGCGAUAUGCGCCAGUAAAAGCAAAGAUGACAUACAGUGCUUAAAUGGUGAAAUAAAUGCAUUGCGAGGCAUGCAGUGCUUAAAUAAUAAAUUGUAUUGAGAUAUGAGUCAGUAAAGUCAAAGAUAACACGCAGUGCUUAAAUAAUAAAAUAAAUACAGUGCGAUAUGCAAGUAAAGAUAAAGCUAACGUGCAGUGCUUAAAGGAUAACAUAAAUGCAUUGUGAUGUGUGCAAAUAAAGACAAAAAUAACACGCAGUGCUUAAAAUGAUGAAAUAAAUGCAUUGUAAUGCGUGCAAGUAAAGGAAAAGAUAGACUAUAGUUCUUAGAAUAUAAAAUAAAUGCAGUGCAGUGCAUGCAAGUAAAGACAAAGAUAACAUGUGAUGCUUAAACGAUAAAAUAAAUGCAUUGCGAUGCGUGCAAAUAAAGGCAAAGAUAACAUGUAAUGUAAAAGAAAUAAAUGCAGUGCGAUAUAUGCAAGUAAAGGCAAGCAAACAUGGAUAACUAUCUUUUGGAGGGCAGACCGACCCAAUUUAUUCUAUUUUAGGGUGGACAGACCCAUGUAAAAAUGAUUAUUGAGCAAAGAAUUAUUUGGGAAUGAAAGUGUUCACAUAUUUUUGAUGUUUCUUUCAAAAUUGCCCCAGUAUCGAGCUGUGGGGUACUGGGGGUGUAAGAUUGUGUACUUGUUGGAGAGAAAGAAUGAUUAUGGGGUUUUGAUGACCGAACUCUGCAUAGAGUUUCCUACAUAUCUCAAAUGUCAGGAGAAUCAGGUCAAUGUAGUUCGAAAUAGAAAAAUAGGGUACAUUUGAUGGCAUUUUUUUAAAAUUUUAACCCAGUGUAUGAUUUAUGGCUAAAACCGCCUCUUUGAGAUUAAAAAAAUCUUGAAAAGUUGUAUGACGUCUUCGAUUGUCUACGAAGACUAAGGCCCUCAACUAGUGAAGUGACUAAAAUCUAAUAGCCUUUCAAGUGAUGAGGCUAUUGAAAUGUAAAAAGCUCUAUAUUGACAGAAGAAAUGUAAUACCUCUCGAUUGGCAAGACUAUAAAAAAUGUAAAAAAUACUCAAAAAUGGGUGCUUGGCUUAAAAACAAAAUUUCGGUAUUUGAAGGAAUAUGCUUGAAAAAAAGUCAAAUGCUCGUAUUUCAAAACUGUGCGCCUUGCAUGAAAAGUAAAAAAUGCAUGUAUGUAAAAAUAGAUACCUUGAAUGAAAGGUAAAAAAAAAAAUGUCUGUAUGCGAAAGUGGGCGUCUUGGAAAAAGGAAAGAAAAUUUUCUCGAUAAAAAGUGCUGAAAGAUGAAGAAAACACAAUCGUGUCUUGACUUCAGUUGGUACUAAUAAUUAAUAGUGUACAUACGAAUUUCCCUAUUUCCUUCCCAGCUAACUGAGAUCGACUUCAGGGUAACUCCUAUAGUUUUAAGUGGUACCUCAAACACGCCUAAGUAUCGACAAGAUUUUUUGUGUUGCUUCAAGCAAAUGUUUCGAGUUAUGCCCAUCAUCAUGCUUCAAGGGCCCUCUCUAGAAAAAAGGUCUCAUUUCGCACAUAUUUGUGUAAAAGAAAUCCCCAUUUCGUACAUACUUGAAUAUUUUUUUCUUUUUAAAUUUGGGGACAUCUAGAGAAAUACACUCACGCUCAGAAAGAAAUUAAUACAUGCAAUUGUGAUACCAAAGGCUUGACCUCCAUGUAAGUAUCCACUAAUGUGAGAACGCUUGAAAUAGGAUCCUGUAGGACUUGUUAUUGUCUUGUAAUGUAGGCUUGAGGGCGGGUAGGAUAAUAUUUGGGAUGAAAGUAACUAAUUCCUUAAUGAGCAUUACACUGCAUUUGUGUUUUUAACAGUUGUUGUGCUUUGACGCGUGAUCUUCUUUGUUGCGCUUCAUUGUUCCUUGUUUUGUAUUCGUGUCGACUUUUUUUUUUAAUUUUGUGUUGGAGUUUUUUCCCUUUUUUUAAGAAAUUAUAUAUUUUUUGUUCUUUUUUUUCUUCUCUUUUUUUCUGGUGGGGUUUUGCUCCUGUUCAAAUCGUUUUUUCAUUUUUUUUUCAUCUGGAAAAUAUAUCCUUUGCAUUUUACAUUUUUUAUCUUGAAUAUUCGUCCGCAAUUUGCACGCAUUUAGUGCGCUCAAGGAGGUAGGGCCAAGAGAGAGAUAGUGCACGUAAACACUCAAAAAGGUAUAGGCUCAAAUGCGGUUGUUCAAAAAAAAGUUUUAGGCUCAAAAGAGGAAAUGCUAGGGAUUAAUGUCAUUUAGUGGGCUGUGAAAGGCUCAAUCGGUCCAAAGAAGGCCUACAAUCCUUUCGUAAAUCAAGUGUAACUCAGAAUUUCACCUCAAUGGACAUUAAGAACAAGUUCUAGAUCAACAAUGCAAUACAAUGAAUUAAACUAAAGCUAACCACACAAUGCACAUGAAACAAUGAUAUUAGUUUCGUUCUUGUUUUAAAUGUAGGCAAGAGAAUUUUCAAGCAUUACUUAGGUGUGAUAAAGGUACCAAAAGAAUCUAUGGUUUACCAUGAAGUCGGUCCUUUUCAUCAUACCAGUUUGUUCUUUCUCAUGCACACUCCUAACGGUAUCGGUAACAACCAAGUCAAAAUUAAUUUUUAUUAUUUUUUUUUUUUUGAAAAGAAUGAGACCGAAUCCAAACGAGGGUUGCCUACGUAUCUUGUAAAAACAAGAAUCAGACCUGCGUAGUUCAGGCAAAUUUGCAAAUUAGUAUGUGCAAUGUAUGAUUGUAAAAAUAAUGAUGGUCAUCCUAAAAAAUAAUAUGAAAGAUGAUCGGGAAUGAAUUGCUUUUAACAUUAAAAAUGCACUGAUCAAAUGAUCGAAAGAAUGAAUAUCAAGCAUGGGGAGAGCUUUGACACAACUUCAGUAUGCUGACAAGAUUGAAAAAGUCAGACAUUAAAGGAAUAAUGACAUUAUUUCGUCGUAGUUGCAGUAUUAUUAUAACUGAAAAAAUAUUGAACUUCUGCUUUUGAAAGUGAGGAUCGAUACGCCAUAAAUUUAAUGAUUUACGACAUUCAAAAGAAGAAGCUAAGUAUUCUUGCACAAAAAUUUGGUGAGGAUCUUAAGAUAGGUCGACUAAGCACUAAUGUCAAUGAGAUUUGGAUUUGAUGAGCUAUUGAUUUGUACUCUUGAGGACUUUUGAAGAGCGNNNNNNNNNNNNNNNNNNNNNNNNNNNNNNNNNNNNNNNNNNNNNNNNNNNNNNNNNNNNNNNNNNNNNNNNNNNNNNNNNNNNNNNNNNNNNNNNNNNNNNNNNNNNNNNNNNNNNNNNNNNNNNNNNNNNNNGUCUUUGAGCUGUUUCAAAAAAAUUUCUCAGUUUAAAUGCAGGAGAAAUUAUUCUGAAACGGUGGAGAGACCGAAUUCUAAUGCAGAGUUGCCUAUGUAUCUUGUCAGGACAAGAAUCGGGUCAAAACGUAGUUCAAACCUAUAUGAAGCUAAUGACGAUGUUAUUAAGGUGCAUUUUUAACUGAUUUGUUAUGCAAAACAAAGGUUAGACUACACUCUCUCACUAAAGUAUAAUCAAUUUAGAGCAAAAAAAUAUGUACAGACACAAUAAUCCUUUAAAUAUGUACAAACACUAUGAUAAUGCGUCACUUGGGUCGUGAAUCCUUCGGACAUAAAGUUACUAACGAUGCAUGCACCUAAAAUGGUGUUAUUUAACUAUAUCCCAUGUUGACUAAGAGUGGGUAGACACAUACUUAGAUUUCCCAUAUGAGAAGGCACGUAGUCCCACGACAGUAGAACUCCCAUUCACCCCACGCAUGCGCGGACUCUCUAAAAUAAGAUGAUUUGAAAGAAUUUUGGGAAAGUACAAUGUACAAUAUGUGUGAGUAUCAAUUUUCAAAAUGAAGAAAAUAUGAACGGAAUGUCAAUUUAUAUAAAGCGAUAAACAAAUAAAUAAUUUAUGCCACAUAAACAAAAGAAAUCAAGAUAAUUAGUAUGAAACAAAUAACAAUAUUUAAAAACAUAAAUAUUUACCUAAAUCUAUAACGGUUAGAGCCAUUCUCAAUCCCCUGCAGAGUCGCCAAACUGUCAUACUCAAUUUUUACCUAAGGUCAAAACGAGCACGACAUUAUGAACUCAAAAAGAAUUAAUUUUGUACAGAGUCGCCAGCUAAUUUUUAAGGAAAAAUAGAAAACCUAUUUAUUUAUUUAACAAGUAUGACUUUAUUUCAAUCUACGAAACCAAUUUAAAUUCUAGGUAAGGGUUCGAAUUAUUUCGAAGGGAAGAGAUUAGACACCCUUCAAAAUGCACAAAUACGAUUUCCAACCAGUCAGGUUUAUUAAAAGAGAAAAAAAAAAUCAAUAUUUUAAAUGCAACUAUAAAAUGUGUAUUAAAAUAAUAUAGACAAUUUAAUAUAAAAGUAUGAAUUAUUUGAUUAAAUAUGUGAAUCAAUUUUAAUAUAAAAUGUUAACAGCCUAAAUUUGCCUAAACGCGCGAUGAAUAUUUGUAUAAAAGUAUUCUCACCCCACGCCCCAAAAAAUAAAAUUUUCACUAUAAUUGAUAUUUGUACAAUGAUAAGAAUAAAGGAAAAUACAAAUACAAAAAAAAUUCAAACUCUUCUUUGAAUAUCAUUUCCGGCUAGUAUUCCCGAGAACCAAAAGAAUAUCAUUCCCGACGAGUAUUCCCGAGAAUCUACACAAAUGCUUGUAAUAAAAAUAUUAGUAACAAAUAAAUAAUUAUCAAAAUAAAUUUAAAAGGUAUGUGUGCAUAUAUGUAUUUAAAAAUAUAUUUUUUUGCUAAAAAAAUAGGCUCAAAUUAGAUUUAAGAUACAACUUGGAUACGAAGUAGUUGCUGAUUUGUUAGCCAUCCUAAAAAAACUUUUUGCGUUGUUAUAAAAAUUUCAUCAUCGCCCAAAUUUAUUUAUUUUAUUACGUAUUUAUAUAUGCAAUAUCCGUCUUUUAUAAUGAGAUGACCUCAAAUAUCUAAUCGGAGAGAUAAUUUCAUUGGAGAAUAGCAUAGUAUUUGUUCGUUAUUAAUUUAAUAAAAUUAAUAUGGACAAAAAUGUAAUGUAAUUGCCCAAAAGAGAGACAAUAGCAGCCAUGAAACUAGCAUAGCAACAACCCAAAACAAAGGCAAUAACAACUAUGAUACCCGCAAAGAAACAACCAAAAUAAAGGUAAUAACUGCUAUGACACCAGCAAAGUAACAACCAAAAUAAAGGUAAUAACAGCUAUGAUACCAGCAAAGUAACAACGAAAAUACCCGAACAAAUCACAAAUCUACUAAAGAUUUGAAAAAAAAUGAUAUAAUGAACAACAACAAAUAGAUCAAGCAAAUAAUUACAACAUAUACAAAUAUGUAUCAAAGAAGAGGUCAUCGGAUACGACAUCUUGUCUGCCAGAUCCGUGUAAAACAAAGCCCACAACAUACAAAAUUAAUGAGACGCAGUUCAUCAGAAGUAAAACUCGAAGCAAUGGUAAUUACCAUUACCGGCGUUGCUUUAACGACUUUCGCCGAAGCAACGCCGGAUACACAAAGCUCCGGACAGAUCUGGUGGUUUCUCACUGGGGGGAUUCGCCGGAAAUGCAAAAAAGGAGGGCGGCGCCGGUAGUUUGGGCUAGAGCUCGCCGGAGAUGGAGGAAGAGGAUAGAAGGGAGAGAGGGGUGGUGGUGCCUGGUGGUUUGCCGAAAUUCGGCCAUAGCUCACCGAAGAGAGGAGAGAAAAAAAAGGUCCACUGAUUUUGUGCGUAUGUGCUUGUAUUUUGUGUGUAGUGUGUGGGUGGA
rnacentral:lncRNA from 1 species